GACGAACGCUGGCGGCGUGCUUAACACAUGCAAGUCGAACGCUGAAGCUUGGUGCUUGCACUGGGUGGAUGAGUGGCGAACGGGUGAGUAUCACGUGAGUAACCUGCCCCUGACUUCGGGAUAAGCCUGGGAAACUGGGUCUAAUACCGGAUAUGACCAUCUUUCGCAUGUUGGGUGGUGGAAAGUUUUUUCGGUUGGGGAUGGGCUCGCGGCCUAUCAGUUUGUUGGUGGGGUAAUGGCCUACCAAGACGACGACGGGUAGCCGGCCUGAGAGGGCGACCGGCCACACUGGGACUGAGACACGGCCCAGACUCCUACGGGAGGCAGCAGUGGGGAAUAUUGCACAAUGGGGGAAACCCUGAUGCAGCGACGCCGCGUGGGGGAUGACGGCCUUCGGGUUGUAAACCUCUUUCAGUAGGGAAGAAGCCUUUGGGUGACGGUACCUGCAGAAGAAGUACCGGCUAACUACGUGCCAGCCGCCGCCGUAACAC
rnacentral:rRNA from 1 species